rnacentral:rRNA from 1 species
UACGAAGGGGGCUAGCGUUGCUCGGAAUCACUGGGCGUAAAGGGUGCGUAGGCGGGUCUUUAAGUCAGGGGUGAAAUCCUGGAGCUCAACUCCAGAACUGCCUUUGAUACUGAGGAUCUUGAGUACGGGAGAGGUGAGUGGAACUGCGAGUGUAGAGGUGAAAUUCGUAGAUAUUCGCAAGAACACCAGUGGCGAAGGCGGCUCACUGGCCCGUAACUGACGCUGAGGCACGAAGCGUGGGGAGCAAACAGG